AUUGAACGCUGGCGGCAUGCCUUACACAUGCAAGUCGAACGGCAGCAUGAUCUAGCUUGCUAGAUUGAUGGCGAGUGGCGAACGGGUGAGUAAUACAUCGGAACGUGCCCUGUAGUGGGGGAUAACUAGUCGAAAGAUUAGCUAAUACCGCAUACGACCUGAGGGUGAAAGUGGGGGACCGCAAGGCCUCAUGCUAUAGGAGCGGCCGAUGUCUGAUUAGCUAGUUGGUGAGGUAAAGGCUCACCAAGGCGACGAUCAGUAGCUGGUCUGAGAGGACGAUCAGCCACACUGGGACUGUGACACGGCCCAGACUCCUACGGGAGGCAGCAGUGGGGAAUUUUGGACAAUGGGCGAAAGCCUGAUCCAGCAAUGCCGCGUGUGUGAAGAAGGCCUUCGGGUUGUAAAGCACUUUUGUCCGGAAAGAAAUGGCUCUGGUUAAUACCUGGGGUCGAUGACGGUACCGGAAGAAUAAGGACCGGCUAACUACGUG
rnacentral:rRNA from 1 species